rfam:Gossypium hirsutum cultivar TM-1 chromosome 4, whole genome shotgun sequence
CGUUAAAAUUUCAUCCAUUUGUACAGUUAAAGUUUGACAUGAUUAACAAAAUAACUAAACAACGAUACAUGACAUGCCGUGUGUACCUCAUAUUGACAUACAUAGAUUAGUUUUUAACAGCAAAAAUGAAUGAAAUUUUUAAUA